rnacentral:rRNA from 1 species
GACGAACGCUGGCGGCGUGCUUAACACAUGCAAGUCGAGCGGUAAGGCCCUUUCGGGGGUACACGAGCGGCGAACGGGUUAGUAACACGUGGGUGACCUGCCCUCAGCUCUGGGAUAAGCCUGGGGAAACUGGGUCUAAUACCGGAUAUGACUCCAUGACGCAUGUUGUGGGGUGGAAAGCCUUGUGCGGCUGAGGAUGGGCCCGNGGCCUAUCAGCUUGUUGGUGGGGUGANGGCCUACCAAGGCGACGACGGGUAGCCGGCCUGAGAGGGCGACCGGCCACACUGGGACUGAGACACGGGCCCAGACUCCUACGGGAGGCGAGCAGUGGGGAAUCUUGCGCAAUGGGCGAAAGCCUGACGCAGCGACGCCGCGUGAGGGAUGACGG